rnacentral:rRNA from 1 species
GAUGAACGCUGACAGAAUGCUUAACACAUGCAAGUCUACUUGAACUUCGGUUUGGGUGGCGGACGGGUGAGUAACGCGUAAAGAACUUGCCUCACAGAUAGGGACAACAUUUGGAAACGAAUGCUAAUACCUGAUAUUAUGAUUUUAGGGCAUCCUAGAAUUAUGAAAGCUAUAUGCACUGUGAGAGAGCUUUGCGUCCCAUUAGCUAGUUGGAGAGGUAACGGCUCACCAAGGCGAUGAUGGGUAGCCGGCCUGGGAGGGUGAUCGGCCACAAGGGGACUGAGACACGGCCCGUACUCCUACGGGAGGCAGCAGUGGGGAAUAUUGGACAAUGGACCAAGAGUCUGAUCCAGCAAUUCUGUGUGCACGAUGAAGUUUUUCGGAAUGUAAAGUGCUUUCAGUUGGGAAGAAAAAAAUGACGGUACCAACAGAAGAAGUGACGGCUAAAUACGUG